GCAAGUCGAGCGAUUUACUUCGGUAAAGAGCGGCGGACGGGUGAGUAACGCGUGGGUAACCUGCCCUGUACACACGGAUAACAUACCGAAAGGUAUGCUAAUACGAGAUAAUAUACUUUUAUCGCAUGGUAGAAGUAUCAAAGCUUUUGCGGUACAGGAUGGACCCGCGUCUGAUUAGCUAGUUGGUAAGGUAACGGCUUACCAAGGCGACGAUCAGUAGCCGACCUGAGAGGGUGAUCGGCCACAUUGGAACUGAGACACGGUCCAAACUCCUACGGGAGGCAGCAGUGGGGAAUAUUGCACAAUGGGCGAAAGCCUGAUGCAGCAACGCCGCGUGAGCGAUGAAGGCCUUCGGGUCGUAAAGCUCUGUCCUCAAGGAAGAUAAUGACGGUACUUGAGGAGGAAGCCCCGGCUAACUACGUGCCAGCAGCCGCGGUAAUACGUAGGGGGCUAGCGUUAUCCGGAAUUACUGGGCGUAAAGGGUGCGUAGGUGGUUUCUUAAGUCAGAGGUGAAAGGCUACGGCUCAACCGUAGCAAGCCUUUGAAACUGGGAAACCUGAGUGCAGGAGAGGAGAGUGGAAUUCCUAGUGUAGCGGUGAAAUGCGUAGAUAUUAGGAGGAACACCAGUUGCGAA
rnacentral:rRNA from 1 species